UACAGAGGGGGCAAGCGUUAUUCGGAAUUAUUGGGCGUAAAGGGCGCGUAGGCGGCUUGGCAAGUGGGAUGGUGAAAUCCCUCGGCUUAACCGAGGAACUGCCGUCCAAACUGCUUCGCUUGAGACCGGGAGAGGUGAGUGGAAUUCCCAGUGUAGAGGUGAAAUUCGUAGAUAUUGGGAAGAACACCGGUGGCGAAGGCGGCCAUCUGGACCGCAACUGACGCUGAGGCGCGAA
rnacentral:rRNA from 1 species